UGGCUCAGUUGGUAGAGCAUGUGACUCUUGAUCUCAGGGUUGUAAGUUCAAGCCCUAC
rnacentral:tRNA from 1 species